GUCCCUAUAGCUCAAUCUGGAUAGAGCAUCCCACUCCUAACGGGAAGAUUCCCAGUUCGACUCUGGGUAGGGACA
rnacentral:tRNA from 1 species